rnacentral:misc_RNA from 1 species
UUGACGUCGGCGAUUUCAG